GAUGAACGCUGGCGGCGUGCCUAAUACAUGCAAGUCGAGCGAACAGACGAGGAGCUUGCUCCUCUGACGUUAGCGGCGGACGGGUGAGUCACACGUGGAUAACCUCCCUAUAAGACUGGGAUAAUUUCGGGAAACCGGAGCUAAUACCGGAGAAUAUAUUGAACCGCAUGGUUCAAUAGUGAAAGACGGUUUUGCUGUCACUUAUAGAUGGAUCCGCGCCGCAUUAGCUAGUUGGUAAGGUAACGGCUUACCAAGGCAACGAUGCGUAGCCGACCUGAGGGGGUGAUCGGCCACACUGGAGCUGAGACACGGUCCAGACUCCUACGAGAGGCAGCAGUAGGGAAUCUUCCGCAAUGGGCGAAAGCCUGACGGAGCAACGCCGCGUGAGUGAUGAAGGUCUUCGGAUCGUAAUACUCUGUUAUUAGUGAAGAACAAAUGUGUAAGUAACUAUGCACGUCUUGACGGUACCUAAUCAGAAAGCCACGGCUAACUACGUG
rnacentral:rRNA from 1 species